rnacentral:ncRNA from 1 species
UGGGCUGAGCAAUAUGCGCUCCUGGUCCACCGAAAGGCGGGGAUAUACCCC